rnacentral:tRNA from 3 species
GGCCCCGUAGCUCAGCUGGAUAGAGCAUUCGCCUUCUAAGCGGAGGGUCUGGGCCGCGA